rnacentral:sRNA from 1 species
AAGGUUCGAUUCGAGCGUCAGCGAGAAAGCGUUGCCGCAGGCAACGACCCGAAGGGCGAAGCGCGCAGCGCUGAGU